rnacentral:rRNA from 1 species
UACAGAGGUCUCAACCGUUGUUCGGAUUCAUUGGGCGUAAAGGGUGCGUAGGCGGUCGUGCAAGUCGGAUGUGAAAUCUCAGGGCUCAACCCUGAAACUGCAUUCGAUACUGCGUGGCUAGAGUGCUGGAGAGGAGACUGGAAUUUACGGUGUAGCAGUGAAAUGCGUAGAUAUCGUAAGGAAGACCAGUGGCGAAGGCGAGUCUCUGGACAGCAACUGGCGCUGAGGCACGAAGGCCAGGGGAGCAAACAGG